CAACGUUUCAGCCCCACUCUAGGGCUUUCCUCAGGAUCAAAAAAAUACAUACAUGUAUGUAUUUUUUUGAUCCUGAGGAAAGCCCUAGAGUGGGGCUGAAACGCU